AGACACAUUCAGCUGUUGGGGAUCAGAGGCCGCACUCAUCGUAGCAGAGAGGCAGGACCAACUGGGAGAGGGUCAUUCUGUGACACCUACUGCACGCCGGACUGUGUGAAGUGACUCAGCUGCCAGAACUCACACAAUAUCAUUCUACACCAAAACCUCACGGGAAAAAUGCUCCAUGACCCUCAGACUUAAACAGCAGCACUGGCUCCUCCCCAGAUCUCCAGCUCCCUGACCCUCAAACUCCAACUGCAGCACCAGCUCCACCUGGGUCUCCAGCUCCACGAUCCUCAAACUACAACAGCAGCACCAGCUCCCCCGUGGAUCUCCAGCUCAAUGACUCUCAGACUUGGGAGGUGGCACUGGCUCCCAACCAAGGCUCCAGCUCCACAAACCUCAAACUAGAACAGCAGCACCAGCUAUUCCCUGGGUCUCCAGCUCCCUCAAACUUCAACUAUAGCACUGGCUCUUCCCCGGGGCCACCAGCUCCACAACCCUCAACUUACACGGUGGUAGCACCAGCUCCUCCCCGGGUCUCCAGCUCCACGACCAUCAAACUUGAACUGCAACACCAGCUCCUCUUCAGCCUCCAGCUCCACAAUCCUCCAACAACAACAGCAACACUGGCUCCUCCCUGAAUCUCCAGCUCAACAACUCACAGACUUGAGAGGCAGCACCGGCACCUCCCCAAGGCUCCAGCUCCAUGACCCUCAGAUUUGAACAGUGGUAGCACCAGCUCCUGUCCAGGUCUCCAGCUUCACUAUCCUUAAACUAGAACAGCAGCACCGCCGCCUCCCUGGGUUUCCAGCUCCAUGACCCUAAGACAUGAAUGAAAGAACUGGGUCACCCCAGCACUCCAACUCCAAGACCCACAGAUUUGAACGGCAGCACUGGCUCUUCCCGGGAUCUCCAGCUCCACGGCCCUCAAACCAGAUCAGCAGCACCGGCUCCUCUCUGGUUCUCCAGCUCCACAGUCCUCACACAUGAACAAUAGUACCAGCUCCUCCUUGGGUCUCCAGCUUCACUACCCUCAGACUAGAACAGCAACACUGGUUCCUCCGUGGAUCUCCAGCUCUACAAUCCUCAGACAUGAACAGCAGCAGCACCGCCUCCUACCCUUGUCUCCACUUCCACAACCCUCAAACUACAACAGCAGUACCGGCCUCUCCCCAGGUCUCCACAUGCAUGACCCUCAAAAUAGAAUGGCAUCAUAGGCUCCCUCCUGGAUCUCCAGCUCCCAAACCCUCAAACUUCAAUUGACACACCAGAUCCUCCCCACAGCUAAAUAGCAGCACGGGCUCUUCCCCAAAGCUCCAGAUCCACGAACCUCUGACUUAAGUGGCGGUAGCACCAGCUCCUCCCUAGGUCUCCAGUUCCACGACCCUCAAACUAUACACCAGCACCAGCUCCUCCCCAGGUCUCAGGCUCCAUGACCCUCAGACUUAAAAAGCCAUAGUAUGGACUUCUCCCUGGGUCUCCAGCUCUACAACCCUCAGACAUGAACAGCAGCAGCACCGGCUCCUCCCCCUGUCUCCAGUUCCACGACCCUCAAACUACAACAACAGUACUGGCCUCUCCCCAGGUCUCCAGAUCCACGACCCUCAAAAUAGAAUGGCAUCAUCAGCUCCUCCCUGGGUCUCCAGCUCCCAAACCCUCAAACUUCAAUUGACACACCGGAUCCUCCCCACAGUUAAACAGCAGCACGGGCUGUCCCCCAAAGCUCCAGAUCCAUGACCCUCUGACUUAAAUGGUGGUAGCACCGGCUCCUCCCUAGGUCUGCAGUUCCAUGACCCUCAAACUACACAGCAGCACCGGCUCCUCCCCAGGUCUACAGCUCCACCACCCUCACACUAGACACCAAGACUACCUCCUCCCCACUCUCCAGCUACAUGACCCUCAGACUUGAACAGCAGCAGCUCCUCCCUGUACCUAAAGCCCCAUUAUGCUCAGACUUGAACAACAGCAACACCAGCUCCCCCACAGGGCUCCAGCUCGAGGACCCACAGACUUAAACAGCAGCACUGGCUCUUCUUGUGACCUCCAGCUCCACUAACCUCAAACUAGAACAGCAGCAUCGGCUCCUCCUUGGGUCUCCAGCUUCACUACCCUCAGGCUAGAACAGCAACACCGGUUCCUCCCUGGGUCUCCAGCUCAAUGACUCUCAGAUUUGAAAUGCAGCACCGGCUCCUCACAAAGUUUCUGGCUCCAAGGCCCUCAAACUAUAAUAGCAGCAGCUGCUGCACCCUGGGUCUCCAGCUCCACAACCCUCAAAGUAGAAAAGCAGCCCUGGCUCUUCCCCAGGUCUCCAGCUCCUCGAGUCUGAGGGUUGUAGAGCUGGAGACCCAGGGAGGAGUCAGUGCUGCUGUUCUAGUUUGAGAGUCGUGGAUCUGGAGACCCAGGGUGGAGCCGGUGCUGCUGUUCUAGUGUGAAGGUCAUGGAGCUGGAGACCCAGGAAGGAGUCAUUUGAACAGCAGCACUGGCCCCUCCCCAGGUCUCAGGCUCCAUGACCCUCAGACUUAAAAAGCCGUAGUAUGGACUUCUCCCUGGGUCUCCAGCUCUACAACCCUCAGACAUGAACAGCAGCAGCACCGGCUCCUUCCCCUGUCUCCGGUUCCACGACCGUCAAACUACAACAGCAGUACCAGCCUCUCCCAACGUCUCCAGAUCCACGACCCUCAAAAUAGAAUGGCAUCAUCAGCUCCUCCCUGGGUCUCCAGCUCCCAAACCCUCAAACUUCAACUGACACACCGGAUCCCUCCAUGGUUAAACAGCAGCAUGGGCUGUUCCCCAAAGCUCCAGAUCCAUGACCCUCUGACUUAAAUGGCGGUAGCACUGGCUGCUCCCUAGGUCUCCAGUUCCAUGACCCUCAAACUACACAGCACCGGCUCUUCCCCAGGUCUACAGCUCCACCACCCUCACACUAGACACCAAGACUACCUCCUCCCCACUCUCCAGCUACAUGACCCUCAGACUUGAACAGCAGCAGUGGCUCCUCCCUAGAUUUCCAGCUCCAUGACCCUCAACCUGCAACCGCAGCACGAGCUCUUCCCUGUACCUCAAGCCCCAUGACCCUCUGACUUGAACAACAGCAACACCAGCCACCCCCAGGUCUCCAGCUCCACAACCCUCAGCCUUAAACAACAGCAGCACCAGCUCCUCCCUGGGUCUCCAGCUUCACACUCCUCAGAUUAGAACAGCACCCCUCCUCCCUGAGUCUCCAGCUCCAUGACCCUCAAACUACAACAGCAACACAGGCUCCUCCCUGCAUCUCCAGCUCAACAACUCUCAGACUUGAGAGGCAGCACCGGCAACUCCCCAAGGCUCCGGCUCCAUGACCCUCAGAUUUGAAUAAUGGUAGCACCAUCUGCUAUCCAGGUCUCCAGCUUCAUGAUCCUUAAACUAGAACAGCAGCACCGCUGCCUCCCUGGAUUUCCAGCUCCACGACCCUAACACACGAAUGGCAGAACUAGCUCCCCACAAGUUUUCCAGCUCCAGGACCCACAGAUUUAAAGGACAGCACCAGCUCUUCCCGGGAUCUCCAGCUCCACUACCCUCAAACUAGAACAGCAGCACUGGCUCCUCCCUGGGUCUCCAGCUCCCAAACCAUCAAACUUCAACUGACAUACAGGAACCUCCCCACAGUUAAACAGCAGCACGGGCUGUUCCCCAAAACUCCAGAUCCACAACCUUCUGACUUAAAUGGCAGUAGCACUGGCUCCUCCCUAGGUCUCCAGUUCCAUGACCCUCAAACUACACAGCAGUACCAGCUCCUCCCCAGGUGUACAGCUCCACCACCCUCACACUAGACACCAAGACUACCUCCUCCCCGCUCUCCAGCUACACGACCCUCAGACUUGAACAGCAGCAGCGGAUCCUCCCUGUACCUCAAGCCCCAUGACCUCGGAUUUCAACAACAACACCAGCUCCUGCCUAGGGCUCCAGCUCCAGGACCCACAGAUUUAAACGAUGGCAUCGGCUCUCCCCAGGAUCUCCAGCACCGCUACCCUUAAACUAGAACAGCAGCACCGCCUCCUCUCUGGUUCUUUAGUUCCACAACACUCAGGCAUGAACAGCAGCACCCGCUCCUCCUUGGGUCUCCAGCUUCACUACCCUCACACUAGAACAGCAACACUUGUUCCUCCCUGGAUCUCCAGCUCAAUGACUCCCAGACUUGAAAGGUAGCACCAACUCCUCCAUGGAUCUCCAGCUCCAUGACACUCAAAACAACAUGGCUCCUCCCUGGGUCUGCAGCUCCAGGACCCUCGAACUACAACAACAUUGUUCCUCCCUGGGUCUGUAGCUCCUUGAUCCUCAAACUCGAACAAGACCUCUCCUCCCUGGGUCUCCAGCUUCUGGACCCUCAAAUUACAACAAUAUUGCUCCUGCCUGGGUCUGCAGCUCCACGACCCUCAAAUAAGAACAAGACCUCUCCUCCCUGGCUCUCCAGCUUCCUGACCCUCGAACUACAACAACAUUGCUCCUGCCUGGGUCUGUAGCUCGACAACCCUCAAACUAGAACAAGACCUCUUUUCCCUGGUUCGCCAGCUUCCGGACCCUCAAACUAAAACAACAUUGCUCCUGCCUGGGUCUGCAGCUCCACGACCCUCAAACUCGAACAAGACCUGUCCUCCCUGCGUCGGCAGCUUCCUGACCCUCAAACUACAGCAACAUUGCUCCUCCAUGGGUCUGCAGCUCCACGACCCUGAAACUAGAACAAGACCUCUCCUCCCUGGUUCGCCAGCUUCUGGACCCUCGAAUUACAACAACAAUGCUCCUGCCUGGGUCUGCAGCUCCAUUACCCUCAAAUAACAACAAGACCUCUCCUCCCUGGGUCGCCAGCUUCCUGACCCUUGAAUUACAACAACAUUGCACCUGCCUGGGCCUGUAGUUUGAUGACCCUCGAACUAGAACAAGAACUCUCCUCCCUAAGUCGCCAGCUUCCUGACCCUCGAACUACAACAGCAUUGCUCCUCCCUGGGUCUGCAGCUCCACGACCCUGAAACUAGAACAAGACCUCUCCUCCCUGGGUCUGCAGCUCCAUGACCCUCACCCUAGAACAGCAGCACCAGCUCCUUCCUGGACCUCCAGCUCAAUGACUCUCAGACUUCAAAGGCAGCACCAGCUCCACCCCCAGGCUCCAGCUCCAACACCCUCAGAUUUGAGCAGCGACAACACCAGCUCCUUUCUGGGUCUUCUGUUUCACGAUCCUUAAAUUAGAACAGCAGCACCAUCUUCUCCCUGGGUCUCCAGCUCCACGAGACUCAAGCUAGAAUAGCAGCACCAGGUCCUCUCGGAUCUUCAGCUCCACGACCCUAAGACAUCAGUGGUAGCACCGGCUCCUCCCCUGGGCUCCAGCUCCAGGACGCUCAGACUUGAACAAAAACACCAGCUCCUCCCCAGGCCUCCAGCUCCUUGACCCUCAUAAACAAUCCCUUCUUAUGAAAUGUAGCAGUCAGGAAAACUGUAGAGGAAGUAAAUAAAUAAAUGUUUUCUUUCAAA